UACGUAGGCAGCAAGCGUUGUUCGGAGGUACUGGGCGUAAAGGGUGCGUAGGCGGUUCUGUAAGUAUGGUGUGAAAUCUCCCGGCUUAACUGGGAGGGUGCGCUAUAAACUGCGGGGCUAGAGUGUGGGAGAGGAAAGUGGAAUUCCUGGUGUAGCGGUGAAAUGCGUAGAUAUCAGGAGGAACACCGGUGGUGUAAACGGCUUUCUGGACCAUAACUGACGCUGAAGCACGAAAGCGUGGGUAGCAAACAGG
rnacentral:rRNA from 1 species